UUUUAUUGAACAAAUUGAGAAUGCCGAGACGGCUACAAAAACCCUAGAGACUACAUUGUGACUGACUUAUAUUCUAAUGAAUAACAAAGCAACCUAUUUAUAAUAAACUAAACUUAAUCUCUAACAAAACCUAAUUCUAACGGGCUAAGCCCAAAAUACCAAACAUUAAAAUAAACUAAAUAAUAAUAUUUUCCAACACCCCCCGUCAAACUUAUGGCGGUUCACGACAUGGGUUUGCCAAAGUAGAUGUGGAUGCAAAACUCCAAAUUCCAAUGCUAGUGCCAAUGCCGAUGCCGAUGCCAAUACCGAUGCCAAUUUUCGAACAAACAAACAAAAAAUCCAACCAAAUUUUUUAUUUUUUAUUUGCCUUUGCCCGCAUGAGCCUAAACCUCAAACAAUUUUUUCAAAAACUUUUUCCUCUUUUUUCUCUUGUUUUUUCCUUUUCUUUGCUUUGCUUUUCCUUUCUUUUUUUACAUGGGGCGUUCUCCUGAUCACGUAAAACAAUGCAGCAAUUCCAUUCCAAAUUGCAGACCGAGUUGGUGCGGAUACAGUGCGACUGCUGAAGGGUGCAGAAAACGGAUAGGGUGCUGAUGAGACUGUGCGGUGCAUAUGCAGGUGGUGUCGAUGCUGGUGGGAGAUGCAGAUUCAACGUGCGUAUUCAGACGGCGAUAGACAAAUGAAUAUCAAACAAGCAGAUUAAAUCCCGAAAGAUCAAACCUACUCUGAUACCAAGUUGAAUAUCAGAGUGCGGAACAAAUAAGACUACAAAAUAAUAGGAAUUUUAUUGAACAAAUUGAGAAUGCCGAGACGGCUACAAAAACCCUAGAGACUACAUUGUGACUGACUUAUAUUCUAAUGAAUAACAAAGCAACCUAUUUAUAAUAAACUAAACUUAAUCUCUAACAAAACCUAAUUCUAACGGGCUAAGCCCAAAAUACCAAACAUUAAAAUAAACUAAAUAAUAAUAUUUUCCAACAAUUCCUGAAGAAUGUGUAAGUCGUUCUCUUUUGUUUGACAUAGCACGACUAACAUGAACAUUUCCUUAUGAUCUGGUAAAUUUUAUGGAUAUGAAAGAAAUGACUUCCCUACACUAGUUAAUUUGUAGAGGAAAAGAGGCGUGUGAGGUUCCAUCAUAUGGCAUGUCUGUACGCAUAUAUGAAGGUGCUAGGAAAUUGACAUCUCCACACAGUGGCAUUUUUGCGCUAGCGCUAUAAAGAAACUCUGAAGACCGCGAAAAUUUUGAAGACUACAACGCUUAAAAGAAAACAAAGGAAAAGAAAGGAGCAAACCGACCUAGCAUUUUUCCUAAGAUGCAAAGUAGCAGCGAAGAGCGACAAGAAGCAUCCCUGUCGACGAUCCACCGUUUGGUCAGACAAAGCCCUUGAAGAUGCAAGCAGCCCCUCUCCACUCCAGAAGCCAUGCAUCUCGUGAGCAAAGCCGUUGGACAAGAAAGUCACAGCAAGCAGUCAAUUUGGAUGAACAGAGUUAGAGAAGGAAGUCGCAUCAAUGUUACAACAAAAAGGAGGAUACUUCCAGCAAAGAAAGACAAAAGCAACCCCGUCGCAGCCAAAUUUAAAAUAAAAAACAAAAAAUAAAAAAUAAAAAAAAACCCCGUCGCAGCCCAUGUCUUGUAGUCAAGAAGAAGAGAAA
rnacentral:lncRNA from 1 species